rnacentral:tRNA from 1 species
GUUUUAGUAGUUUAAAUAAAAAUACUGGUCUUGUAAACCAGAGAUAAGAUACCUUCUAAAACU